rnacentral:rRNA from 1 species
UACGUAGGGUGCGAGCGUUGUCCGGAUUUAUUGGGCGUAAAGAGCUCGUAGGCGGUUUGUCGCGUCGGCCGUGAAAUCUCCACGCUUAACGUGGAGCGUGCGGUCGAUACGGGCAGACUUGAGUUCGGUAGGGGAGACUGGAAUUCCUGGUGUAGCGGUGAAAUGCGCAGAUAUCAGGAGGAACACCGAUGGCGAAGGCAGAUCUCUGGGCCGUAACUGACGCUGAGGAGCGAAAGCAUGGGGAGCGAAACAGG